AUACGGAGGAUCCAAGCGUUAUCCGGAUUUAUUGGGUUUAAAGGGUGCGUAGGCGGCCUAUUAAGUCAGGGGUGAAAGACGGUAGCUUAACUAUCGCAGUGCCUUUGAUACUGAUAGGCUUGAAUGCACUUGAGGUAGGCGGAAUGUGACAAGUAGCGGUGAAAUGCAUAGAUAUGUCACAGAACACCAAUUGCGAAGGCAGCUUACUAAAGUGAGAUUGACGCUGAGGCACGAAAGCGUGGGGAUCAAACAGGAUUAGAUACCCUGGUAGUCUACGCCCUAAACGAUGAAUACUCGAUGUUGGCGAUAUACGGUCAGCGUCUAAGCGAAAGCGUUAAGUAUUCCACCUGGGGAGUACGCCCGCAAGGGUGAA
rnacentral:rRNA from 1 species